CCCAAAGCGCCUGCCCGCUCGCCCUGUCCCUGCGCCUCCGCCGCCUCCAGCUCCCAUGGACUCCCAGGACUGCCCCUGCGCCAGUGGCGGCACCUGCACCUGCGGGGACAACUGCAAGUGUAAGAACUGCAAGUGCACGGCGUGUAAAAAAGGCUGCUGCUCCUGCUGCCCGGCUGGAUGUGCCAAGUGCGCCCAAGGCUGCGUGUGCAAAGGGCCGCCCGCCGCCAAGUGCAGCUGCUGCAAGUAGGGCGCACGGGGAGCGCCCGCCCGCACGGCCACCACUAACUUUAUUGCCCGCGCUUUAUUUUUGUAUGUGCUCACAUAUCCUUAAUAUUUGUCCUGUGCGACACGUGAUAAGCUUCCUAAAUAAAGAUCCAUGUAUAUAAGUACCAAUAA